rnacentral:pre_miRNA from 1 species
AGUGGAAUUGCUAGGUUGCAUAGUAAGUUUGUGUUUUAUUUUUUAAGAAACUGCCAAACUGCUUUCCAAAGUGGCUUUACUAUUUUCCAUUCCCACCGGCAAU